GGCCGACAGGCGUAGUCGAUGGACAACGGGUUGAUAUUCCCGUACCGGCGCUGACGCGCCAAUGCUGAAUCUGGUUGUGCUAACCGGUUGAUCGUGUGUGUCCUUUCGGGGAUGUGCAUGUGAGGUCCGGAUCCUGGCUGGUAGUAGGCAA
rnacentral:rRNA from 1 species